AUUGAACGCUGGCGGCAGGCCUAACACAUGCAAGUCGAACGGUAGCACAGAGAGCUUGCUCUCGGGUGACGAGUGGCGGACGGGUGAGUAACGUCUGGGAAACUGCCCGUUGGAGGGGGAUAACUACUGGAAACGGUAGCUAAUACCGCAUAACGUCGCAAGACCAAAGUGGGGGACCUUCGGGCCUCACACCAUCGGAUGUGCCCAGAUGGGAUUAGCUAGUAGGUGGGGUAAUGGCUCACCUAGGCGACGAUCCCUAGCUGGUCUGAGAGGAUGACCAGCCACACUGGAACUGAGACACGGUCCAGACUCAUACGGGAGGCAGCAGUGGGGAAUAUUGCACAAUGGGCGCAAGCCUGAUGCAGCCAUGCCGCGUGUAUGAAGAAGGCCUUCGGGUUGUAAAGUACUUUCAGCGGGGAGGAAGGCGGUGAAGUUAAUAACUUCACCGAUUGACGUUACCCGCAGAAGAAGCACCGGCUAACUCCGUGCCAGCCGCCGCGGUAA
rnacentral:rRNA from 1 species